AGCGAACGCUGGCGGCAGGCUUAACACAUGCAAGUCGAACGGAUGUAGCAAUACAUUAGUGGCAGACGGGUGAGGAACACGUGGGAAUAUACCCUUUGGUUCGGGAUAACUCAGGGAAACUUGAGCUAAUACCGGAUAAGUCGGUAACGAGAAAGAUUUAUCGCCGAAGGAGUAGCCCGCGUCUGAUUAGCUAGUUGGUGAGGUAAUGGCUCACCAAGGCGACGAUCAGUAGCUGGUCUGAGAGGAUGAUCAGCCACACUGGGACUGAGACACGGCCCAGACUCCUACGGGUGGCUG
rnacentral:rRNA from 1 species